rnacentral:lncRNA from 1 species
AAAUUGUUUUUUUCUGUUUUGGUUGCAGGAAUGAGUAUCAAUUAUCAUAUUCCAAAGAUGUGGAGUUUUAGAAGACAUUACCUUACCAGUGAGGAGGAGACCGCCACUGAAUACUGAGUAGAAGUUUCUCAGGGCUGUUUUUUUUUUUUUUUUUUAAUGAGCUGAAACACCCUGUUCACAAAUGCAUGUAAUGGUGUAGGACGAUUAUAAGGUUAUAAAGUAACUAUAAUUGGUUACUCUACUUAAGGUCUUUUUUUAAACUAGUACACAAUGUAAAGUUGGAGUGUCUAUGCUUAAGUACAUUUGAAAUCAAAUACUGUUAUAUUCUUUUUUGUGGUCAUAAGUGAGGACUUCUACUUUUACUGCUGUAGUGUUUUACCUUGAGUAACUCUACUUUAACUAAAGUGUGAUUUUGUGUAUUUUGCCAGACAAUUAAAAUCUAUUUGGUCUUGGAAUCUUAUAUAUAUAUAUAUAUAUUACUUGCCUGCAUUUCAGGUGAAACUCCAACAAGAACAUUGUAGAUGAUCUCUGGCAGACACACGUGAAAAUUUUAAACUAAGGCUCUUUCAGCUAUUAAUAAUACACUUUAGAACUACUUAACUGCUGCAUUUAAGCAUUAAAGAGCACAAAUAACAACCCUCACUGCGCUUGCUGCGCCUCCUAUAUAAAGUCUUAGCCCCUCCUUUCAGACCAAUCCAACUGAAGUAGCUUCAAUUAACUAAAUAAUCAAACUUAUAAAUUAAUUUAAAGGCUAAACACCCACAUAGUAUAAACAUUAAAGCAUAUGAUGAACACUGAAGCAUAAAUUAAUAAAUGUUCAUAUCAAAAACAUGUCAGAAAUAAAAAGCUACACUCUAAUACCCCCUGUCCCAAACUUCAGGAAUGGUAUGUUCCACUCCUAAAGGCGGGAGACACCUGUAUAACUGGGCUGAUUGGGACGGUUGGUUCUAUUUGUUAGCGUCCCAGUGCUGCUGCAAGAAUGAGUCAAUAUAUCCUGAUUUCAAAGAUGUUAAGUUGAAGAGCGUGAUCUUACCAGUGAGGAGACCACCACUAUAUUGAGUAGCAUUUUUUAAAGUUUUUUUUUUUUUUUUUUUUUUUUACAAACUUAUUUACAAGUACAUGUGAUGGUCUAGGACCGUUUCAAAGUAAAUAAAAUAUAAAUUUUAUUAUUAUUACUUUA